rnacentral:lncRNA from 1 species
AUGGCGGCGCAAGGCACCUCCUCGGUCUCUUCACCAAACGUGUCUCCCACUUCAGUGUCGCCGCCGACUCUGCCCCCGCCCUCUACUGGGAUUUCGAAGUCUCUCCUGGAGGCGAAGGCGAGCUCUUUGAGCCCACAGUCUCUCUCGGCCGGCCACGAGGACUUGUUGCCCCUCGCAGUAUUUUAUGGGCCGCUGGACGCAAAAAACCCACUCCUGGCCUCCUGUGAGAAGGAGAUUCAGGAGUUGCUAGACUUCAUGAAGAGAAAGAAGACUUUAGCUACAACGGAGGAACAGAAAUAUGAGUUCCACCGGCUUUGUGCCACCUCUUUGUUUAAUAUCUGGACCAAAUACGCCCCCCGGCUGCCAGCUGCCUAUUACAACGAGAAGCUUCUGAAGGUUGGAGAUAGACUUUGUGAAAUGAAAGAAUAUAAAUUGGCCCUUUUACAAUGCUAUGGCAGAUAUCUUCAGCAGUUCAGCAUCAACUUUGAUGAGAAUAAAGCAGACGUGAAUCAAUUCAAAACUGUCUUUUUCCCAAAAGGCUUUGGAGACAAAACUGCACCACAUACAUUUCAUGCUUUAAAUGGCAAAAAUAUUUGCAACUACCAGCUGGUCUGUGACAGUGAUGUGAACCUGCAGAAUAAAGAGUCUGUGAUCCACUGUCUGCAAAUCUUGUCCUCCUUCAGGCUCAUCAUGCAGGUGGCUUUGCCACAGGAGCACCUGUGCUGGAUUAUCUUCAAUGGUACCAUUUACAUUUAUACUAUUUGCAGAAAAUUGAUGAUCAGAGGUCAUUCUUCCAAGGCCUUGGAAUACCUCCUGUGGGCCAGUAUAUGUAUGGAGUCCUCAGUGCCUCUCCUGUCCAUCAGGUACUUGACGUGGAGAGCUACUCUUUACACAGCUGUCUGCCAGUGCUACUAUGACUGCCAAGCUGGUGUCCCUGGAGAGGCAUUUGCUCGACGUGCCUUAGCUAAAAUUGAUGAGUUACGGCAACUGGAAUUAAUGAGUUCCUCACAACCACAGGAAGAAUCCAGAGAAUAUUAUAGAGAGGCCACAAUAAAGAUGGCAGUCAUGAUCUUCAAAAGAGGAGUAUUUGAAUCUAGAAGAAAAAACAAAAGUUUCUUUAGACCAAAGAUAAGAGUUAACAUAAAGGAAGCACAAACUAUGCCAUGGCCACGUACGGUCACAGAAAAGCUGCUGGAAGAGUUGUUUGACAGCACUGCCUCCCGGUUUCUGGCUGUCUUGGAAUCUCUCUCUGACUCAAAUCGGCGAGUACUACAGACUGGACCUGUUUUUACAGAUGAAGUAGAAGUUCGUGAUGUUGUCUCAGAACUAUUUAUGGCAGGAAAAGAACUUUUAAUAAUGUCAAAUAUUGGUGCAGAUGGGAUACUUGAUUUUCCAAAAGCACAUCUUCUAGAACUUAUUAUAAAAAGGAAGAAUCUUAUUUCUGUGAAUGCUGCUGUGAAAUUUAUAAAAUUAGCUUUUAUGUAUGAGGAAUGGAGUUUAUUUGAAUCUGCAGCUGGGCAGCUCCUUGAUUUUCUCCAGAGGCAGGAUGACCCAGAGUCAAAGAAAGUGGAAAAGGAUUUAAUUCUUCUUGUUGCGAUAGAACCUUUGAUCAAUGUAAAGAGAAACAAAGGUUUGAUUUUUCCUUUUGACAACUACAAAGAAGGUCAAGUCUAUGUAAAAAAAAUUGCUGCUCACGAUACUUGUGCGAAGUCUUGUGGAUACUCAGAAGACGUUUUCCAUUUGGCGACAACCUUGUAUUCCUGUGUCUGUGACUCUCCGCAGAAUGCUCAGCCGGAUAAGGAAAUCGUUGUGGACAUGAUAAUGUUCCUGUGGCAGAAAUGCAAAUUAGGAAUGCAGCGGGUCACUGUGUCCAAGAAUGACUACGCAAAGUUUACCCAGAAGAUCAGUACUAAUAAAUGGAUUUAUCUUCUGUGGCAGAUAAAUGAAAUCAUUCACUGCUGUAAGAUGGAAGACAUUGACGUUGUGAUGGUGGCAGAGAUCACGUUACGAUUAAGUGAAAUAUUGGAGUCUUUAGGAAACCCAAGAAGAAAAUUUAAAAAAUUUCUAGAUGUAUCUUUAAGGAAAGGGACUAGUGAAACCUUUGGGGCUCCAAAAGGGAGCAUAGAUAUUCUUCCAAUAAUAAAGAAAAAACCUGAAGAACAGUUAUUUUUGGCCUAUGAACUUCUUGACAGAGCCAUUGGUGGCAUAAAUUUGAACUGCAUGUUAACUGCUUUGCCAAAUGGAUCAUCAGUGAUUGACCAUUGCUAUGCCACGCACAACCACUAUGUAGAUGGAGACAUGUGCAAACCAGUCACACCGAAUAAUUUCAUAAUGGAUUUGCAUCUUGAACUAAUUCAAGCCCAGCACCGAAUAGCUGUUGUGCUUCUUGACCAGUUGCAAGUUUUGCAGACUCCAACUGUGAGCAAAAAUACAUCUACCAAAGGUACAGAGAAGCUAAAAAAACCUGCAAGCCCUGAUUGUUUUACAGAAUUAAGUGUGAUGAAUAAAAUAAGGAAGAAUAAGCUAUCUAAAGCAAUUUAUUUGAUGCAGAAAACUCUUCUAAUAUUUGAGAAAGAUGCAACCUGUUCUUCUCUACAGAACUACUUGACGGAAGCAUAUUCUUUGAUUGAGAAGACCGAAGCAGAACAAAGUAUACAAUAUUCACAUCAGAAAUGUGUGGAAACUGCCAAAGGAAAGAAGAGCAGAGUCCCUCCUCCACCCAUUCUGCUCUCCCGAACUUACCGUUCUGUGACAUUAAAACCUGCCCCAUUUGUUUCUGAUGUUAAGGUCUGCUGGUAUUGCAUUUUGGGUCGCAAAGCGGAAGGAAGCUAUGGAAAAGUAAGACUAAACAAUAAUCAUCUCCCAAACUCAGGAGAAGCGAUACCAGCGGAUGGCAAAAGUGUUUUUGAGGUAAAAGGUUUAGAAACCAAUGAAAAAUACGUCUUUGCAGUUGCAGCUUACUGUUCUAGUGGAAAGCUGAUUGGUGAUGCUAUUGGCGAGACAACUAAACCAAUUCUGGUUUACCCACCUCUUUCUGCUGUUACUACUCGGAUGUUAUUGACGCAGAUCUUGAUAAAGUGUGUGGUGGUUUUGCAAGGACUACCAAAUGUCAUCCACUUAAAGAAACAUCUUGCAAGCUUUGAAAGUGUACAGCAUAUGAUAGCUUGCUGUAUCUUCUACAUAACAAAGAUCCUGCGUUCAUGGAAGGAAUAUGACCUGGCAGUAAUGAUUAUAAAUUAUGGAAAAAAGGUGUUGGACAUCUCAUCAGGUUGCAAAUCUCUAUUUGGUACUACAGACGUAGAGGAAAUGCAAGAAGAGGGUUCUUCCAAGAAGUCUUGCAAGAAUAAGAAGCCACAGCAGGUAUUAGUACCUGAAAAAAUAAAUGAACAGCUGGUUUUAUUGGAGACACAUCUACUCAGACUGACAAAGCAAUAUAUUACAACUGAACUCUCGGGAGCAGAAGAUCCCAUAUUUCUUUACCCUAUAGUUUUAAACUGGUCGGUCAAAGGUGCUGUGAAAGAAGUUAUGAAAUUUAAGCAGAGACCUAGAUUCCUCGAAUUCUUUACACAAGUUAUGCAAAAAUGUAUGCAUGAUGAAAAAUUUCAACCUAUGUUGGAGAUAACAAAUCCUGUCUAUGACUUCUUGAAAAGGAGGAAUGAGUCCCUUCUUGGAAUAAAAAAACUGAAAUACAAGGAUACUUUUUCUAAAAAGGUCAUCAAACCUGUGAAGAAGUACAGAGCCGCAGUAGUGGAGAUUGGAAAAACUACAGAAAUGAAGCCAAAAAAAAAAGCUAAAAAAAAGGAAACUCUAAGAGAAUUUUUACAUAAAAAUCCCUUUAUUUCUGAAAUGCCGGAGCAUGAAAGAAAUAAGAGAGCUGAUGUUCGAAAAGUAGCACAUCGAUUCCUGGUGGAAAACUUGAAUCCUUUAAUAUUAAGUUAUGUUAAAAAGAAGAGGUUCCAUCAAAUAUUUCUUGAGGAGAUGCCCUGGAAAGCUCAGAUGAACCUGUAUCUGGCAAGCGCACACUUCAACCUGCUUUUAACAAAGCUAGGGGAACGUACAAAGAUAAAAUUUGGUUCUUCACCAAUAAUGGUCAGUUUCCGAUCAUGUGACCCUAAUAUGUUCUCACUGUAUAAUUCAGGAACAGUAUUACCAACAGGAAAAAUGACUCUAGAAAACUAUAAAGUGUUGCUUGAUUUCCUUCUUACAGCUAAAAAAAGAAAGGCUCACUUACCAUCAGAUGCUGAAGAAUUUUUGGCAUUUCUUAAUUCCAAAAUGAGUGGUGAAAAUGUUUCCAAGACCCAAACAGUUUAUGAAUCAGACUCUCAGUCGGGACUUAGCAGUAAAGAAAAGGAUCGAUCUGCAAAUGUGGCUCUCUUGGAUCAUUUUAUGAAAAUCUUUUUAUAUUGCAGGAGAGCAAUGGUUCUUGCUCAUCGUGGUGGCUAUUGGACUCUGCUUCAGAACUGCUGUCGGGCCCUUUGGAACUUUACUCAGGAGUUACAAAUACUGCAUAAACAAACAGUGGAUCUGUAUAAGACAUUUCCGAUUAGCCAGGAUAAUUUCCUCUGUAUCUCUGUUUUACCAUUCUAUUUGGGAGCAGAAUUACUUAUUGACAUGUUAAUAGAACUACAGAAUACUGAUUCUAUUAAGACUAUUGAUGAAAAAGGAGAGUUCAGUGUCCCGAGUUGCUACGGAAAUAUUAAAAAUGAUAAAGGUGGUUCCAGCCUUACCUUUGAGCAUCCUCUGGAUGACGUCAAUGUGGUCGAUUUGAAAUGGAUCCAUGACUUUGUAUUAAAAUCUCUGGAACUUGUCUAUCAAGUAGAAAAAUGGGAAACACUCGUAUCACUUGCCAUUCAGUUCAAUGCAGUUUCGCAUGAAAGAUAUACAGAGCAAGUGACUCCACUCCUGGUUUACGCGCAGCGCCAGCUUCUACUGCAAAUAUCCAAAUGCAAGGGCCCAGACAUCAGCCAGCAGGCUUGUGUAAGAUAUGAGACUGAAUACAAACAGAAGAUAACCUGCCGAAAUUUCGUUGGAAUACAGCUCAAGAUUAAUCCUCCAACCAAUAAAGGGACAGCUAUAGGACAGCGAGCAGAUGUCCUUAAAAAGCUUAUCCAUUCAGAAUACAGCAGAGCCAAAGAGCUCCUCUGUGUGCCUGUGGACGUGACAGACACUCUGAGAUGUUUUAGAGAGACCUUGGAAAAAUCCAAAUAUCACAACAGAUCAAUCCGGCACAGCAGAAAGUUGCUUUCGUUAUUUCUCGCACAGACACAAGGAGACAAAGGAGGAGUGAACAAUUUAAAAUUGGCUGCUGGGAAAGUGGAAUUUUCCCUGGGGACAGAAGAGAUGCACAUGCCAACACCCCCCGACCUUUCUCAGGAGCACUUCCGAGUUUUCAGCUCAGUGGAGAAGAGCAAGCUUCCCUCCUCACAACUUGGACUCGUAAUUUCUUCUUAUUAUGAAACUAUUAAUGUUCUGAAAACCAGCAAUCAAAGAAGUCUUAAUGUUCAGGCAUUGCAUGAACUUGGAAAUCUUCUCAUCUUCGCACAGAAGAAAAGGGCUGCUUUUAAGUGUUGGAGUCAAGCUCUGGAUGAAAUUUUCAGAAAAGAAGAUGUGCUCCAUACAUGGAAGGAGCUUGGCAGCUCACUCACCAAUGCCACUGAUGGCCGGUCACCUCCAGGUUCCAAAGACUACAGUGAGGAGCUCCUGUCCAAAGUCGGCAUCUGGGGGUGUUUGCAGGGAGCGGUGAUAUCAGCAAAGAUAGCACAAUUUAUUCAGACAUUGGAUGUUGAAAAGAGAACCAAUUGUUGCCUUUUAUCAGCAUUUCUGUUUCAGGGUUUGCUUAGAACCACACUACCACAUCCUAAAGCUGAACGUUGCUAUGCUCAGUAUGAAAUCACUCAGCUUCUCCCAGGCAUUGAGCUCUUCUCAGACAGAUACCGGGCUGACAUCUGCUCUGUCAUUGCGAGUUUGUAUUAUGUCAUCCGUGAGCUGCACUUUGCUAAGCAAAAUCUAGUAAUUCUGCCUCUCCUUGCAUUGUACCAAUAUUUUGUUUCUGUAAUUUGCCAAGACUUUGUCAGAAAUCUGGAAGCAAGAAUCCUCAAGAUAGAAGUCCUUACAGAUUUAGGAUUCUUUUCUGAAGCCUUUCAUGAGCUAUCCCAGAUAUUUUAUGCAAAAAAUAUGCCUUCUUCAGUACCCACCAGCUAUAAACCUACUGGAAAAAUGAAGCAAUUUCAAUCUUUUGACUCGGGAAAACCUCUUAUUAGUAAAGAAAAUAUGCAGGCACUUGAUGAUUUAAUAAAUAAAGGCAUGCCUGUAAUUCUGGUUACAGUUAGCCAGCAACAUCUCUUAAAUAAGUUUUUAUUUGUUAAAGCAUACUUUUUCAUAAAUGUGGCUGCAACAAUAAAUUGUGUCCCAGAGCAGAUAAUGAAACCAGUUGGCCACGGAGUUAUGAAUGAGAAAAGCAAACCAAAUCUUCUAAACUUGAAAGAGAUGUGUUUAAAGGAUGAGGGAGGCUCACUUUGUCAUCUGACAAAAUCGAAAGAAAACUUUGUUCUUAGCACACUAAAGUCAAUUUUACUGACAGAAGCUGAAGACAGGCUCAACACCCUUCUGUCAGAGAUGGAACAUCCAAGCCAUAAGGACCUCUCUCAGUGUUGUGCUGGCGAACUGGAGAUUGUGGUGGAGGUCAGACUGCAGCUGGCUGCCAUUGCCCUGCAGAGACACCGGGCAGCAUACAGUGCUGCGAUAGUAUUUUCCACACUUAAACUUCUCCAGGAUUCAAAACUUUUUAAAAAGAAGGUAGUAGAAGAUGACUCAGAGAAUUGCACCUCUCCAGAAAGUUAUGUGACUGAAAGUAAAGACGACAAUUUUUUAGAUCCUAUUUCCCUAAAUUCUCGAGAAUAUUUCAACAUUCAUCUGUGGUUGAGGUGCCGCUUAGCCUUGGUGACUGCAUUUGUUGCCCAGAUUCGUGGCAUUGGAAUUGUGAAAGAAAACGAUAUAACGGAUUACGUGAGCCUUAUCAAUGAAGUGUGUGUGGAGGCAAAAGCUGCAGGUGACAGAGAGCUACAGGCUGAAUUCUUGAUGCAAGCUGUAAUUAUCGGCCUACAAGAAAAGCAUUUAAAGGCAGACAUCAUAAAAAGCCUUCAGGAGGUAAUACAGUUGCUUGAAGGACGUGACUUUAUUUCUCCUCGAUCUCAUUUAACCCUGGUGAGAAGUAUGCUUUUGCUGGAUGAUUUAACAAAAGCUGAGAAAUUCAAGGAAACUCCUUUUUCAAAAACAGAAAAAUUGUAUUUGUUGACUCAGUCUCACAACAUUCUUAUAGAACAGAUGAUAACUUUUGGAGAAACAAUUGAAUUGCCUUCAUCAAACACUGACUAUGCAAGUCCAUUACUGCCUUUGAAAAAUAUUUAUCUUCCUCACGUCAUGUUAUUGGCCAAAACAAAAAUGAGAAUUGGACAUACAGUGGCCAAGCAAGUAUAUUAUACCAGUAAAAAGAAGGAUCCUUCAAAGUGGUUACCUGCCCUUCAUUUUUUUGAAAUAGCUUUGAAGCUCGCUAGGACAUCAGGAACAGAAGAACAUGAGGUGGAAGCUGAAAUCUUUUUUCAGAAAGGCAAAAUAGAAUGUCAAAUAUUGAUGGAAGAGAAACCUCCAACUAUGCAACUUGAGAGUCUGUUUGAAGCUAUACAGCUAAGCUUGAGACAUGAUCAAAAUUCAGGGUUGAUAAGAGACUCCUACCUUGAAAUAGCCUUAUUACUUUUACACAUAAGGAAGUCAAAGAGCAAACUUCCAGUGUCACCAUUGACAACUAUUAAGGCUCUUCCCAGAAGGCAUAGUUCUACUAAAGAACCAAUAGUAAAUAAACAUGAAAUGUACAGUUUAUUUGCCUGGAUUGCAAUAAGAGCUGCUGCACAGGUCAGUGAGGCUGUGCUGGCAAUUAAUCUACUUAUUGGAAAGAAGAAUGCUAGAACUGAUAAAGUUAGCCAAGGAGCAUUAUCAAAUAUCCCAGAAUUUGCUUCCAUGGAUCUUUUUUCUUCAUACACAGAUUAUUUGCUUGAUAACUACCAAGUUGUCUUCCAGACUGGCUGUACAUUUUCUUACCUUAGUGAAGAGAUACAUGAGGAUGUAGAUUCUCAGAAAAGAAACCCAAUUAAAGUGGAUAUUACAUGGAUUCUUCUGCUGCGCUACUAUAUUCACCUACAAAGAAUUAAUAAUAUGAGCAAAUUGCUAGCAUCUCUGAAGCCAGGAUCUGGGAUGUCUUUGCCAGAUGACACUCUUCUCACUUCUCUUUUUAACUCUGGAUUGAUUUUGCGCCAAAAAGAAAUGCAUUUUUUCCUUAAAAGAUUCUUGCAGCUAUAUUCUUCAUCUUGUAUUGAUGAAUUUCCAAAAGAACUAUUUCAAGUCAUGGAAAGUCCACCUGUUCUAGAAAAAGUCUUAUAUGAUUCAGCAAGCAAGACAGGAGUAACUGAUGCUUCUCUACACUCCGAUUUAUCAUUAAAGAGCGUUACCAGCCCAUUGUAUGGAGACUCUGUGCCAUCAGUUGUGGUAACACAAGCUGUAAACAAAGAACUUUGUUUUCAGUGGUACAUUCCUCCCCUGGAAAAACCUCCAAAGGAAACAGAACCUAUGGUUUUAUUGUUGUAUGCAUAUAAUAUGAAGCCCCUGAAUAUUUCUGAUGUUGCGUCUACUGCUUGCAACAGUGUGUACGUAGGCUCUUUCUGGGUUCCACUAAAAAGAGUUAUUUCAGUUCAUGAGAAACUAUCUAAUCUUACGCAAAUUGCUGAAAUAUCAUUGCCAACAACUCCUAAAGUUACUUCAAAUGAAAAUUUACGUGAAGUAGAGGAAACAGAGGAGAAAUCCAUUGAUACAGAAAUGGAAAACAUGAUUAUUGUCUGUUGCAAUGAAAUAGUAUCUUUGUUUUUGGGUGAUGAGAUGGCAACUCCACUAUCUGAGGUCCCAUUUGAUGUCUCGCUGCCAUCUAUAUUCAGUCUGGAGAGACUUUUUGAUCUUGCUAGUGGCUGUAUCAUAUCAGGAGGAAGCCUUUUCAACUGGAUGGUGUCAAUUAUUCCCUGA